UACUCCUACGGGAGGCAGCAGUGGGGAAUCUUCCGCAAUGGACGAAAGUCUGACGGAGCAACGCCGCGUGAGUGAUGACGGCCUUCGGGUUGUAAAGCUCUGUUAAUCGGGACGAAAGGCCUUCUUGCGAAUAGUGAGAAGGAUUGACGGUACCGGAAUAGAAAGCCACGGCUAACUACGUGCCAGCAGCCGCGGUAAUACGUAGGUGGCAAGCGUUGUCCGGAAUUAUUGGGCGUAAAGCGCGCGCAGGCGGAUAGGUCAGUCUGUCUUAAAAGUUCGGGGCUUAACCCCGUGAUGGGAUGGAAACUGCCAAUCUAGAGUAUCGGAGAGGAAAGUGGAAUUCCUAGUGUAGCGGUGAAAUGCGUAGAUAUUAGGAAGAACACCAGUGGCGAAGGCGACUUUCUGGACGAAAACUGACGCUGAGGCGCGAAAGCCAGGGGAGCGAACGGGAUUAGAUACCCCGGUAGUCCUGGCCGUAAACGAUGGGUACUAGGUGUAGGAGGUAUCGACCCCUUCUGUGCCGGAGUUAACGCAAUAAGUACCCCGCCUGGGGAGUACGACCGCAAGGUUGAAACUCAAAGGAAUUGACGGA
rnacentral:rRNA from 1 species